GACGAACGCUGGCGGCGUGCCUAACACAUGCAAGUCGAACGGAACUUUUUUAAAAGAUUUCUUCGGAAUGAAUUUGAUUAAGUUUAGUGGCGGACGGGUGAGUAACGCGUGAGUAACCUGCCUCUGAGAGGGGAAUAACAUUCUGAAAAGAAUGCUAAUACCGCAUAAUAUAUAUUUAUCGCAUGGUAGAUAUAUCAAAGAUUUAUCGCUUAGAGAUGGACUCGCGUCCGAUUAGUUAGUUGGUGAGGUAACGGCUCACCAAGACCGCGAUCGGUAGCCGGACUGAGAGGUUGAACGGCCACAUUGGGACUGAGACACGGCCCAGACUCCUACGGGAGGCAGCAGUGGGGGAUAUUGCGCAAUGGGGGAAACCCUGACGCAGCAACGCCGCGUGAAGGAUGAAGGUCUUCGGAUUGUAAACUUCUUUUAUUAAGGACGAAGAAAGUGACGGUACUUAAUGAAUAAGCUCCGGC
rnacentral:rRNA from 1 species